rnacentral:rRNA from 1 species
UACGGAGGGUGCAAGCGUUAUCCGGAAUCACUGGGUUUAAAGGGUGCGUAGGCGGAAUAAUAAGUCAGAUGUGAAAGGUUUCAGCUUAACUGGAAAAUUGCAUUUGAUACUGUUAUUCUUGAAUUAGGUUGAGGUUAGCGGAAUGAGUCAUGUAGCGGUGAAAUGCUUAGAUAUGACUUAGAACACCAAUUGCGAAGGCAGCUAGCUAGGCUUUAAUUGACGCUGAGGCACGAAAGCGUGGGGAGCGAACAGG